rnacentral:rRNA from 1 species
GGACGAACGCUGGCGGCGUGCCUAACACAUGCAAGUCGAGCGAGGAGAUUCCUCGGGAUGAUCCUAGCGGCGACGGGUGAGUAACACGUGGGCAACCUGCCUCAUAGAGAGGAAUAGCCUUCCGAAAGGGAGAUUAAUACCUCAUAACAUUGCAGUUUCGCAUGGAACAGCAAUUAAAGGAGCAAUCCGACUAUGAGAUGGGCCCGCGGCGCAUUAGGCUAGUUGGUGAGGUAACGGCUCACCAAGGCGACGAUGCGUAGCCGACCUGAGAGGGUGAUCGGCCACAUUGGGACUGAGACACGGCCCAGACUCCUACGGGAGGCAGCAGUGGGGAAUAUUGCACAAUGGGGGAAACCCUGAUGCAGCCAACGCCGCGUGAGUGAUGACGGCCUUCGGGUUGUAAAGCUCUGUCUUCAGGGACGAUAAUGACGGUACCUGAGGAGGAAGCCACGGCUAACUACGUGCCAGCAGCUGC